UAGCCCCACUGCUCCAGAAUAGCUCUUGGAAACGGGUGGUAAUGCUGGAUGCUCCAACUUGACGCAUGUCUUGUUGGGAAAGUGUUUAGUGGCAUGGGGUGGGGGUCGCGUCCUAUCAGCUUGUAGGCGGGGUAAUGGCCCACCUAGGCUUCGACGGGUAGCCGGCCUGAGAGGGCGGACGGCCACAUUGGGACUGAGAUACGGCCCAGACUCCUACGGGAGGCAGCAGCC
rnacentral:rRNA from 1 species